GGGGAAUAUUGGGCAAUGGGCGCAAGCCUGACCCAGCAACGCCGCGUGAAGGAAGAAGGCUUUCGGGUUGUAAACUUCUUUUGUCAGGGACGAAGCAAGUGACGGUACCUGACGAAUAAGCCACGGCUAACUAC
rnacentral:rRNA from 1 species